CAGCGUCGCAAGUGGCGAUCCUUUUUAUUUGGCCUAAAGCGUCCGUAGCUGGUUUGGUAAAUCUUUUGUGAAAUUGUUUGGCUUAACCAAACAACGUGCAGGAGAGACUGCCUGACUAGGGACCGGGAGGAGUCAGAGAUAUGCAGGGGGGAGCGGUAAAAUGCUAUAAUCCCCGGUAGACCACCUGUGGCGAAGGCGUCUGACUAGAACGGGUCCGACAGUGAGGGACGAAAGCCAGGGGAGCAAACCGGAUUAGAUACCCGAGUAGUCC
rnacentral:rRNA from 1 species